UACGAAGGGGGCUAGCGUUGCUCGGAAUCACUGGGCGUAAAGCGCACGUAGGCGGGUCUUUAAGUCGGAGGUGAAAUCCUGGAGCUCAACUCCAGAACUGCCUUCGAUACUGAGGAUCUCGAGUCCGGGAGAGGUGAGUGGAACUGCGAGUGUAGAGGUGAAAUUCGUAGAUAUUCGCAAGAACACCAGUGGCGAAGGCGGCUCACUGGCCCGGUACUGACGCUGAGGUGCGAAAGCGUGGGGAUCAAACAGG
rnacentral:rRNA from 1 species